rnacentral:rRNA from 1 species
GACGAACGCUGGCGGCGUGCUUAACACAUGCAAGUCGAACGGAAAGGCCCUGCUUUUGUGGGGUGCUCGAGUGGCGAACGGGUGAGUAACACGUGAGUAACCUGCCCUUGACUUUGGGAUAACUUCAGGAAACUGGGGCUAAUACCGGAUAGGAGCUCCUGCUGCAUGGUGGGGGUUGGAAAGGUUCGGCGGUUGGGGAUGGACUCGCGGCUUAUCAGCUUGUUGGUGGGGUAGUGGCUUACCAAGGCUUUGACGGGUAGCCGGCCUGAGAGGGUGACCGGCCACAUUGGGACUGAGAUACGGCCCAGGCUCCUACGGGAGGCAGCAGUGGGGAAUAUUGCACAAUGGGCGGAAGCCUGAUGCAGCAACGCCGCGUGCGGGAUGACGGCCUUCGGGUUGUAAACCGCUUUCGCCUGUGACGAAGCGUGAGUGACGGUAAUGGGUAAAGAAGCACCGGCUAACUACGUG